UACAGAGGUCUCAAGCGUUGUUCGGAUUCAUUGGGCGUAAAGGGUGCGUAGGUGGCGAGGUUAGUCAGGUGUGAAAUCUCGGGGCUCAACCCCGAAACUGCACUUGAUACUGCCUUGCUAGAGUACUGGAGAGGAGAUUGGAAUUUACGGUGUAGCAGUGAAAUGCGUAGAUAUCGUAAGGAAGACCAGUGGCGAAGGCGAAUCUCUGGACAGUUACUGACACCGAGGCACGAAGGCCAGGGGAGCAAACGGG
rnacentral:rRNA from 1 species